rnacentral:rRNA from 1 species
UGAGGAAUAUUGGGCAAUGCCCGCAAGGGUGACCCAGCAACGCCGCGUGGAGGAUGAAUGUCGUAAGAUUGUAAACUCCUGUUAGAGGGGAAGAAUAGUACCGGUUGGACCGGUAUAUGACUGUACCCUCAGAGAAAGCCCCGGCUAACUACGUGCCAGCAGCCGCGGUAAUACGUAGGGGGCAAGCGUUGUCCGGAUUUACUGGGUGUAAAGGGCGCGCAGGCGGGAUAAAAAGUCAGUGGUGAAAUCCUACAGCCUAACUGUAGAACUGCCUUUGAUACUUUUAUUCUUGAGUUCGGGAGAGAGAGACGGAAUUCCAGGUGUAGUGGUGAAAUACGUAGAUAUCUGGAAGAACACCAGUUGCGAAGGCGGUCUCUUGGUCCGACACUGACGCUGAGGCGCGAAAGCGUGGGGAGCAAACA